rnacentral:rRNA from 1 species
UUUUGGUUCUAUGUCUUGGCUUUAGUUACAGAAAAACACAUGGUACUUUAUGGGGUCCGGUGAGUAAUUGGAAUUAGGGUUAGGGUAAAAUUUAAUAUUUUACUUUAUUUUUAAUUCUUGAGCAUAAUUAUUUGGAUAUGACGCUUAUUUUUGUUCACUAUGUACACCAGUGUUGGAGAUUGAACAAUAAACUUUGGUUUGAUUCAGUGAGUUGCUAUUGAGGUCUGGUAAAGUUUGUGCCAGCAACUGCGGUUAGACAAACAGGCCGAGUUAAGAUUUGUGCAGCAUAAAGUAGGGUUAGGAGGAAUUAGUUUAAGUUAUUUGGAGGUUUAAGGUGGUUUGAGGGGUGCAAUCCUAAGAAUCGUAUUUUAUCUCGUAUUUCCAUUACUGUCUGACGCCCUGAGAUUCCAGUUUAAGACCGGGAUUUGGUAUCCCGUUAUUCGGAGUGUAAACUUUGGUUUUAUAGUCUGCUGGGGUACUACGAGCGCUAAUUGGGCUAGGCUUAAAACUCAAAAAACUUGGCGGUGUUUCAUAUCCUCCCAGGGGAACCUGUCUCAUAAACGAUGAUCCACGUUUUAUCUUACCUUGUCUUGAAGUUUUAUGUAUAGAACGUCAGCUUGUAUACCGUCGCCGACGGACCAUCCUUGAGGGGUUUGAAGUGGUCGGGAAGAGAGAUUGUUAUGAGGGGUAGUGUUAUGCUUGUUUAGUGUAGAGGCUAGCUUUCUUUAUUGUGUUGUAUGCCUAUCUUAGGUGUGUGACUAAGUAAUUUUUCAGGAUGUCAGAUCAAGGUGCAGCUUAUGGGGAGGUGAUGAUGGGUUACAAUAAUUUAUUUAUUAUACGGAUUUUUUACUGUAAUGUAAAAUUUGAAGGUGGACUUGGAUGUAAUGUUGAAUUAGGAAGUCAUAGUGAACUAGGUUUUGAGAUGUGUACAAAUCGCCCGUCGCUCUCGUCGAAAGAUGAGAUAAGUCGUAACAUAGUAGGGGUACCGGAAGGUGUCCCUGGAAUAUG